CAUUAUGGUGGGGCGUGCAGGGGCGUCUACGGACGCGCCGGGUUCUCUUGUAACCGGUAGUUCCAACCCUGUACGUCUCACCACCCCG
rnacentral:antisense_RNA from 1 species